rnacentral:rRNA from 1 species
AGUGAACGCUGGCGGUAGGCCUAACACAUGCAAGUCGAACGGCAGCACAGUAAGAGCUUGCUCUUACGGGUGGCGAGUGGCGGACGGGUGAGGAAUACAUCGGAAUCUACUUUUUCGUGGGGGAUAACGUAGGGAAACUUACGCUAAUACCGCAUACGACCUACGGGUGAAAGCAGGGGAUCUUCGGACCUUGCGCGAAUGAAUGAGCCGAUGUCGGAUUAGCUAGUUGGCGGGGUAAAGGCCCACCAAGGCGACGAUCCGUAGCUGGUCUGAGAGGAUGAUCAGCCACACUGGAACUGAGACACGGUCCAGACUCCUACGGGAGGCAGCAGUGGGGAAUAUUGGACAAUGGGCGCAAGCCUGAUCCAGCCAUACCGCGUGGGUGAAGAAGGCCUUCGGGUUGUAAAGCCCUUUUGUUGGGAAAGAAAUGCAGCAGGUUAAUACCCCGCUGUUCUGACGGUACCCAAAGAAUAAGCACCGGCUAACUUCGU